rnacentral:lncRNA from 1 species
CCUGGGCAGAACCAGCAUGACCCCAAAAGCCCCAGAUGAGGGGGCAGCAGCAGGAGCCGGGCCCUGAGCAGCAGAGGGGCUCUGUGGCACCGAGCAGGAGCCGUGCCCCGCAGCGUGGCAGCGGGGUGCUGAGUCACAGCAGUUAUUUUUGGAUAACCCAUCCUCAGCCUCCACUGGGGACUUUUCAAGCUGGGGGCACAAAUCCGGGGGGGGGAUCCGAGCCUGACCCCGCUCACCCGGCUUGGCGGUGCUGCAGUGCCAGGUGGGUGAAAGUCUGGCGGGGGAGGAAAAAAAAAAUAAAUAUAAAAAUCUCCAAAUAUUUUGGGCUGCAGGAGGCUGCAGAGGGAGUGCUGCGGUGUGGCUGCCCCGCGGCUGGUUUACCUCCAGGCGGUAAAGGGACGGCCAUAAAGCACCGGGCGCCCAGCCGGGAUUUAUGGGGCCUCUCGGAGCAAUCUUUUCCUAAUAAAGAGUCUAAUCGAAACGCUCCUUCCCCCCCCCCGCCUCCCCGGGAAGGGCCGCGGAAGAGGCUGUAAAUGCGCAGAGCCGCUGCGGAUCGAUAGAGAGAAGCCCGGAUUGAUCGGCCUCUAAAAUUAAAUUUAUUGGGGUCAUGGUUUUAUAUGGUGCUGAUACAACUGUUAAAUGGGGAACAUUCAUUUCCAAUAGGAGGCGUUUAUUAAACUUCCACUGAAUUAGACCGCCGUGAUUUAUGUGGCAAUCUCGGCGCAGCCCUCCAGGAGAGAAGGGCCUUUCGCGGCCGGCCCCGGGUGAUUAUUUAUUUAUACACCCGUGACACGGCUCCCUAAGUUUUAACCUAAAUUAUCCGCCGGCCUCGCCCGCGAGCGGCACGGGCGCGGGGGUCCCGUCGGGGCGCAGCUCCCUGCCCGCAGCCCCUCGGCGGCCGCGCACCCCCGGGCCUGGGGGGGGACCCGGGGGGGGCCCCGGGGCGGCGGCGGCGCCCGCAAACGUCCCGGCUCUCGCGUGCGGCGAUCGUUGAGCGUUAAUUAGAAAUUCAUUACAAUUAAAAGCCGCGCGCACACGCCUUAAUUACAUCUGAUUUUUAAUUCCGAAUCCGUGUUUACACAGUAAGCGAGACGUACCUCCUGAUUAUCCCCAAUACUCUUUAUACUGUACUAAUUAUGUAAAUUAAACCUAAUUAACUGACAAAAACUGCAGUCAAUUCAACUGUUAAAAGAUACGGCGAGGAGCGGGGCGCCGGCGGGGAGAGCGGCCGGAGCGGCGGGGCCGGAGCGGAGCUUCCCCGGCCCGGGGCUCCGCGCUGUCGGGGCGGCCGCGGCCGGCUCCGGUGCGGGGAACGGGGCCGUGCGGGAACGGAGCCCUGCGGGGAACGGAGCCUUGCGGGGAGCGGGGACGGCCGGGGCACGGCCGAGGGGGCCGGGGUAGAGCCGCAGCCCCCUGCCCCUUGGGGACCCCCGACGUGCCGCCCCCCGUCCAGCCCGGGAAGGGGCCGCCGGUGCCUCGCAGCCCGGCGAGGAGCAGCAAAAGGGGCCGGAGCCGGGCUGCCGCGGCCCGGAGGGGGGGGCUCGGCAGGCACUGCGGGCAUCCAGCCCCCGGGGACCACCCCGAGCCGGCGGAGAGAGGGGCAGCGCCUCCAGCUCUCCCACCGCCGGCUCCUGAGUCCGCCCGGCUGGAGGACGAGGGAGCGGAUAAAUAAUUAAAAGGCGAGGAAUAAUUACCGGCUCGGGUUGCCAUCGCCGCGGGAAGGCCGCGCUGCAGGGCCCGGCCGGCAGCACCCAUCCCGUGUGCGUGUCCCCCACCCCCCGACGGGGCGUCCCGACCCCCGGUGCGGCGGGGCCCCGGGGGCAGCGGCGGCCGCGCUCCGGCCCCGGUGCUGCGGGGAGCGGGGGGAGCGGAGCGGGGUCGGCUCCGGCCCCGCAGCCUCCGGGACCGCGGCAUCGGCGGCUCCGCACCUGCGUUUCGCUCCGCGCCGGCUCCGCCGCAUCCUCCCGGCGCUGGGGACAAAAGUGAUAGCUGGGGGCGAUCCGCGCCGUUAUUAACUUCUGUUUGAUCAGUGUAAUUGCGCCGAUCGCGGCCGGACGCGAUGAUUAAUUACAGUUUAAUUAAUGUGGCCGUGACGAACGCUGCAUGCGGGAACCCACCCAGGGCGGAGACGCGGCUGCGGGGCCCCCUCCGCGCCGGUAGGACCUGGGGUGUCCCCCCCCGGCUCCGGUGGCCGCCAAUGCUGCCGGCGUGGAGGGGGCCCCCGGAGUGAACGAAAACCCGCGGCCGUGCCCCCCCCCGCCGCCUCCGCCCGGCGAUUUCGUUGCCGGCCCGGUUCCCCCCCCCCCCCCCCCCCCCCACCCCCCCCCCCACCCCCCCCCCCCCCGCCCCCCACCCCCCCACCCCCGGCGGAGCCCUCAGCCCGGGGGCGGUGGCGGCGGCGGGGGGGGCCCGGCGGGAGCCGCGCGGCGGCGAUUUCGAUGGGGCCCCUCCGCCGCCCCCCCCGGGCUCCUCUUUUCGUUGCCUCCCUCGCCCCUCGCCAACUCGCAACGAGCCGCGGCCCCCCGCGGGUGCCCCCGCCGAGCCCCUCCCGGUGGCGGCUGCCGGGGGGCGCGGAGGGACUGGGGGGGGGACGCGGGGAGGGGGCCCGCGGAGCCCCGCGCAGGUGGGGCCGGGGCCGGGCCGCGCUCUUACCUCGGGCAGCCCGGGCGGGUCCCCGCUCGGUGGCGGCCCCCCGCGCCCCCCCGUGCCUGAGAGCCGCGCCGUGAUUGACUGGAGCGCGUCGGUGAUUGACGGCCGCGGGGUCCCGGAGGCAGUUAAUGUAAAUAUGCUGGUGCUAAGUGGGUGUGUCUUCCCGUUAUUUUAGCUGUCACCGGAUCAAUGUGCGGCGGCUCCAAGUACGGCUCCGGAUCCUCCCUCGGCGGCGCGGCUGGCCACUCGCUCUUGUUGCAUCUCGCCCGGGCGGACGCGGAGGCGGUGGGGCGGGCGGCGGCCCCGGAGAGCGGCCGGGAGCCUUCAGCGGGUGCCCGAGGCCCGCCCGGCUCCCCGCGGGGGCGGCUCGGCGGGGCCGGGGCCGGGGCCGGGGCCGGGGCGCCCCCCCCGCCCGCCCGCCGCUCGGCGGAGCGCGGCCCCCGGCGGAUGGCGGCCCCGGCGGCGGGCAGCGGAGCGCCGGGGCUGCGCGGCGGCCGCUAGCCCCGAGGAGAGCCCCCCCGGCCGCCCGUCCAGCCGGGCUCGGAGCCCCGGUAAGUGCCGCGGGGCGGCGGGGGGCCCGGGGGGGGCUCUCGGGGCCGGGCGCGUCCCGGGGAGCCGCUGCCGGCGGUUCGCGUGAUGGCCGCGGAAGCCGCUUAGCGCCCGGCUAAGCCCAUUUGUGCUCCCCCCCUCCCCGGGCUCCGUGCGGAGGCUCCUGCCCGCCCCGGACCCUGAUCCGCCGGCACCGGGAGAAGGGGCGCCCGCCCCGCUGCGAGCGGCAAGUUUCGGCCCCGGCGCUCCGGGACGCACCGGGACGCGCCGGGACCCACCGGGCAGCCUCCGCCGGUGCCUUUCGUUGGAGCCCUCCCGGGGCUCGCCGCAACGGCCCGGCUCGGUUGGGCACGGCACGGCUCGGCGAGCCGGCACAAAGGGACGCGGCUCGACCCCCGGGGUCCCCCCCGCACCCCCCGGGCCGUCCUUGCCCCGGGCGGCCGCUGCGUCCCCCCGGGCUCCGGCUGCGGCGGGGCCGGGACCGGCGGCGCUGGGGAUGCGCGGCGGCCCCGGGCCGGGCCGGGAUGGGAGCGGCGGCGGCGGCGGGGCCCCGGGAGCGGUGGUAACCGGCGCCUU